rnacentral:lncRNA from 1 species
AUUGUUUAUUUUAAAAUGUUGUUAUAAAUAUGUAAAUAUGGGUUACUUAUUGGUUAAUUAUUUUUAUAUUUGUUUUUUAAAUAGUUAGUUCUUGGUGUUGAUUAAGCAAGUGUGCAUUCUAUUUUGGACUAAUGUGUUUUGGAUCAUAUGACAUUAUGUGAUCUUAUCAUUAGUUUUGAUCAUUGUAAAUAGUGCAACAAGGUAAAC